GAGAGAUUGCAAACCCGAUGCCUCUUGUUGCAAUGACAUUUCAGGAAGUGAAAGUUGAAAAAAAGGGGAGACCUUAGAAAUUUGAGGGGGGCGGGGGGAGGAAGCUGCGAUGAGAGUUUCUGCUUCAUACAGGAAACAGCUGGCCAGGGUGGUCUGAGGCUCUGGAUAUAAGUGUUGGAUGUGAAGCAGGCUUGCCGGCAGUCACACACAGAGAGACACUGCCCUACACAGGCACCAGAAGCCCUUGGAGUUACCUUUUCCCUCAGGGACCUCCACACAGGUCAGUCCUAAGGUGUUUUUCGAGUCCUGUGCAUGAGAGAAGUGAUAACCUGGUAACCCUGGAGAUUGCAUACAUUCUGGCUCUAAGACAUCAUUUGCUGCUGUUUUUAACUUUUUUCUUUGAGGGGUCUUUGGAAAAAAACAAUUUUGGUUGCA